AUGGCCACCAGGCUCCUCUGCUGUGUGGCCCUUUGUCUCCUGGGAAAAGAGUUUACAGAUGCUGGAGUCAUCCAGACACCCAGGCACAAGGUGACUAAGAUGGGACAAGAAGUAACCCUGAAAUGCCAGCCUAUUUCUGGUCAUGCAGCCCUUUACUGGUACAGUCAGACCUCAGUGCAGGGACCGAAGCUGCUGAUCUACUUCAACAAUCAAGUUUCUAUAGAUGCCUCGGGGAUGCCCAAGGAAUGGUUCUCAGCAGAGAUGUCUAACAAAUCAUUAUCCACCCUGAAGAUCAAGCCCACAGAACCCGGGGACUCAGCCACAUACCUGUGUACCAGCAGUCUGUGGAGCAACCAGGCCCAGCACUUUGGAGAUGGUACUCAACUCUUGGUCCUCGAGAAUCUGGAAAAGGUCAAACCUCCCACGGUCACAGUGUUUGAACCAUCCGAAGCAGAGACCUCCCGAACCCAGAAGGCCACACUCGUGUGCCUGGCCACCGGCUUCUACCCCGACCACGUGGAGCUGAGCUGGUGGGUGAACGGGAAGGAGGUCCAGAAUGGGGUCAGCACGGACCCCCAGCCCUACAAGGAGCGGCUGGAUGAGAAUGACUCCAGCUACUGUCUGAGCAGCCGGCUGAGGGUGUCCUCUGCCUUCUGGCACAACCCUCGCAACCACUUUCGCUGCCAAGUCCAGUUCCACGGGCUCGGGGACAAUGACGAGUGGCAGAACAGCCAACGGGCCAAACCCGUCACCCAGAACAUCAGUGCCGAGGCCUGGGGCAGAGCAGACUGUGGCUUCACUUCGGUGUCCUAUCAGCAGGGCAUCCUGUCUGCCACCAUCUUCUAUGCGAUCCUGCUGGGGAAGGCCACCCUGUACGCUAUGCUGGUCGGUGCCCUGGUGCUGAUGGCCAAGGUCAAGAGAAAGGGUUCCUGAAACUACCUCAGAGGCAGAGGCGGGAGCUUCCAGCUUGCUAUUCCCCAAUAUGGAUUCUCCUUUUUUGACUUCUAGCCAGUGCUUCUCAAGAGCUGUUUUCAUCUCUCCGCUCACCCCAAUAGUUACCCACUAUGCUCCUGAACACCUGGACGCUGGUGACCCAAAUCUCCCUAACCCAGGGGGACCCCUAGUGUGACUAAAUUGACUAUUGACUGAAUCAAUAAAAAUGAUGUGUUCUGGCUUGACUCCG